rnacentral:rRNA from 1 species
GACGAACGCUGGCGGCGUGCUUAAUACAUGCAAGUCGAACGCUAAGGCCCGGCCUUUGUUCUCUGCUCGAGUUGCGAACGGGUGAGUAACGCGUAGGUAACCUGCCUGUUAGCUUGGGAUAACUUUUGGAAACGGUAGCUAAUACCGCAUAGUAGCUGCUGUUGCAUGGUAUUUGUUUAAAAGUUUCAAUUGCUUGACAUCGACAUGCGGCUGCGGUGUAUUAGCUAGGGGGAGUGGCAACGGCGCACCUUGGCGAGGAGACAGAGUGGACCGGAGAGGGUGAGCGGCCACACUGGGACGGAGACACGGCCCAGACGGCUACGGGAGGGAGCAGUAGGGAAUCUUGGGCCAUGGACGGAAGUCUGACCGAGAAACGCGGAGGGAGUGAAGAAGGUUGUCGGAUCGGAAAGCUCGGUUGUAAGAGAAGAACGAGUGUGAGAGUGGAAAGUUGACACUGUGACGGUAUCUUACCAGAAAGGGACGGCUAACUACGUG